rnacentral:siRNA from 1 species
AUCGAUCUCAGAGAUGGAGCGAAU